GAGGAGGUGGGGAGAUGGGCACCCCCAUCCUACCCUCAUUUGUCAAGGGGCGCUCGGAUCCCCUGGUGUUUCUUUCCCCUAACAAGCAGGCACUAGCAGGGUCCUUCGCCCACUCCGACUGGCCGCCACCGCCCCAGAGCAAGCCCUACCUACCCACCCGAGGAUGGGAGGAACAGAUCCAGAGGAGUGACCUGACCAUGCCAUAAAACUAGAAGGUAGCAACGCUGGAGUAAGAGCUCUGAUCUUUUUUUAAAAAAUUAUACAGGAAAAAGAACACACAAAUUUAUUACAUACUUAAGGCAUAGGACUAUUUGACUCAUGAUAACAAAUCUUCAUCUUUUCUAUGCUGCACACUUUUUAAAGUAUGAGUUGAGACUUUCUGAAGGGAGAGGUGGGUGGGGCACAUAUAAACCUAGGGCAAGGACCAGGCCAGGAUCAUAGGGCAGCUGCAAGCUGGAGAAGGGAAAAAGAAGUUGGGAAUUUUUCAGUCGGGGAAGACUUCCUGGAGGAAGAGAUUAUGGGUCAGGAUCAGAUAGGAAAGGAAUGAAGAUAGCAAGUAAAGAAGCAGGAGGGAGCUAGGUGAACUGGCCUGUACCUAAAAUCCCAGCUACUCGGGAGGCUAAGGCAGGAAGAUUCUACAUGUUCAAGGCCAGCCUGGGCAACUUAGAGACCUUAUUUCAAAAGCAAAAACAAAAAAGGCUGGAUAUGUAGCUCAGUGAUAGAGGACUUGCCUAGCAUGCACAAGGCCCUGGGUUUAAUCCCUGAUACUGUAAAAUAAUAAUGAUGAUGAUGAUGCUAGAAAUGGGAGGGAGCCAAAAAAAGGGGAGAAAGACAGGACCCAUACGAAGGCUAGGUGAGAGCAAAGGGUAUAAAUCAGAUUUGCCUUGCUGGCACCAAGUAAAAUUAGGUAGCAUUUAUUCAGGAUGUACUAUGUGGGGCUGGGGAUUUAGCUCAGUGGUUCUGCCAUCUGCCUCACAAGUGCAAGGUCCCGAGUUCGAUCCCUGGUACCAAAAAAACACACAAAAAACCCCAGGAUGUACUAUGUGUCAGGUACAUACAUUAUCCCAUUUAAUGUUCACAACAGUUCUGAAAAAUAGGUUUAUUUAUUUAUUUGAUACCAGGGAUCGAACUCAGGACCUUGCGCUUGUGAGGCAGGCACAGUGCCGCUGAGCUAAAUCCCUGGCUCACAAAUAGGUUUCUCAAUCCUAUUUCUAAAGACUCAGUUGAAGUUCAGAAUCUUUAAUGCUCACUUUGAAGUUCACAAUGUUUAAUAUCUACAUAGGUAGUUUUUUCUUUUUUCUGUUUUCUUAGACAGGGUCUUGUAGUUCUGGCUAGCCUUGAACUCACUAUGUAGCCCAGGUUGGCCUCGAGCUCAUGGCAAUCUUCCUGAUUCAGCCUCCCAAAUGCUGGGAUUACAGGUGUGCACUACCACACCCGGCAAGGUCAUAUAGUUGGUAGCUUGGUUUUCCUGGCCCCAGAACCCGUGCCUGGGCUGCCUGCUGAGUGUGGCCUCCGUGGCUUGGUCUCUCCUUCCAUUUCUGGUACUUCCACAUUUGUAGUCACACCAGUGGUGGGAAAAAAGGGGUCAGGAAGUAGGGUGAGACCAAGAGAGGGAGCGGCAGGCAAGCAGUGAGGACAUAAACUUUCCUUACAGCCAUGUAAGGAAGGAUAGGAGGACAUUCUUUUUGGAGGGAGGCUUCUAAAUCAUUUUCUUGGGAUGAAUGGCCGAGACCAGACUGAGGUCACACCAGGUAGUGGCCUUUAGUUCUCUUUCUCUGGAAAGAAGAGGGCUCAGGUGUGGGUUUGAGCCCUAGAUUAAGAUGGCCAGUUGUCCACUAAAAUCCUUCCUCUCGCUGUUAUAGGAGGGCAGAGAGUGACCCAGCUGAACACCUACUCCCCAGUCAUCCCUUGCUACCAGGUGUGGGCAGCAGGGAGUGAGAACCUGAGGACAGUGGUAAAUUCUUUGUAUUGUCUUUAUCCUGUGCUGGACAGAUGAGCCUGAGGCUGAGUUUGACCAGGCGCUUAAGGAGAAAUCAAAGUGACAACAUGAAAGGAACCUAAGUUCCCAGUUGAUUAUGUAGAGCAGAGGUGAUGAUACCCAAGAUUUCUUCCUUCCAGAAUGCUCUGUGAGAAAUAAACUAUUUUCUAUA